GAACUGCCCAGCACCUCUGGCUUGGGGUGGCGGGACGCAGCCACCCGGUCGACGCCUUCAGGCGAGAGGCCGUAGAUUCCCUGGACUCCAGGCAUCUGAGGGCUCUGUCUCCCCAGUGGCCUCAGGACAGAGCAAGGCCCCCAGCAGGUGCCUCGAGACUGCCACACACCUGCCAGAAGCAUUCAGAGGAGUCUGUGAGCCCUGAGCCUGGGCUCCUGAGGAGGAGGAUCCAAGGCUGGGAAACCAGGGCCCUUCCCUAACCUCUGGCCAGCCAUACCUGUGUUGGCCCUGACAGAAGCUGGGUAGCUGACUGCCCGGCCCCGCUCCGCUGUGACAGUCACCACAUAUUCUACGCCUGGCAUCAGGUCAGUCAGCAGCGUCCCGUCUGCUUCAGGGGGCACUUCCAGCCUCACCCUCUGGUUGCCGGCACUGACGUAGGACACCACAAAUCGGUCCACCUCAGCCUGGGGACGCAGCCAGCCAAGCUCCAGUGUUGUCGGUGUCACAGCCACCACUCGGAGGUCCUGGGGCCCAUCGAUCACUAGCCAGGUUAAAGAGGAGGACUCAGGCUCAGAGAAGACCCAGAAUGUGACAGAUGCCCAUACCGAGAGCAGAAUGGAUGAGCUAAGAACAUGGCCAAGCCUGGCACAGGCCAACUUGGCACCACCAUCCUGGCUCUGAGUGAGGGAGAAAGUCUAGGGCUUCAACUGGAAAGCGGCGCCCUUGACAACACCAAGGAUCGGUUUGUAUUUAUUUACUCAGAGCAGGAGACAACUGCUGCCCUAAAAGCUCCUCUUAUCUCAAGUGUUUAUUUUAAUUCUUCUUUCCCUGAAAUUUCUUAAGAAACUUCCUUUUCGAAGUCCCACCCUUUCAAGAUUAGAGCUAUGUAAAUAAUAUAUACAGAGAAGAAGAGAGUGGGAGAAACACUUUAAAAUGUUAGCAGUGCUUGUUUUAGUGAGGAGCAGCCAGGAAUUGUUUUUCUUUUCUCUAGUUGCCAAAUUCUUGUCUCGUGAUUAAAGUAUUUUUAUAACAACAACAAAAAAAGAUGUUUAAACAGAAGAAAAAAUUCAAGCUAUCUUGGUUGCGCCACGAAGUUGAGAUUUCUGCUUCUGCUUUGGCUGGAGAGUGAGGAGAGGCAGAACAUAGUAGGGGGCUGGCCUGAGGAGCAUAAUGACAAGACAAAGCAAAGUGGAGUGAGGAUGACAGUUCCUCUGAGCUGUCCCCUUCUGUCCUAGUGCCUUCCGAGGCUUUAGGCCCAGGGAGUUGUUUAUUUUUACAGAGUCCUGGCUAAGCUGAUGAAGAUGAGGAUGACAUGGCCCACACCCCAUAUGGCAUUUGUGGGAUGAUGCAGGAAAACAUGAGUUGGAUGGUAGAAAUGUCAGAAGAUUUGCAGCUGGGGAAACGACCAUAUCUUAAAAGCCCAGUCUGCACAAAGGGAGGCCCCAAAUAAGUGACCACAAGGCUUUGUCCUUAGGGUGUUCCCUCUAAUGUUUUAAGAGCAAGUUGGAUGGCCAGGAGUGGUGGCUCAUGCCUGUAAUCCCAGCACUUUGGGAGGCUGAGGCGGGCAGAUCACUUGAGCCCAGGAGUUCAGGACCAGCCUGGGCAUGCAACAUGGAGAAACCCCGUCUCUACUAAAAAUACAAACAUUAGCAGGCUAAGGUGGUGCACACCUGUAGUCCCAGCUACUUGGGAGGCUGAGGUAAGAGGAUGACCUAAGCCUGGGAUGCAGAGGUUGCAGUGAGCUGAGAUGGCACCACUGCACUCGAGCCUGGGCCACAGAGUGAGACUCUCUGUCUCAAAAAAAAAAAAAAAAAAAAAAAAA